CACGUUGUGCGCCGCAGCGGGGUACUGGAACCGGAGCGCGUCGCCGGUGUAGAACCUGAUGGUGGAAGUCCAUUGGGUGUAGUUUGUCCGGAGGUCCCACGACCCGGCCGGUGCGCCGACUGUGUAGGUGGCGCCGAGCGCCGUGCCGAACAGCGCCGCUGCGAUCACUGCGGCAACAAGGAGAGCCCUGGUAGCAGCCGCCAUGGAUGAAUGCCGAUCGAGCGACUAGUAGCUCUAGCACUUGAGAAGAUGACCCACGAAGGGUUGGAUUGUUGAGAUGAUCGAGGGAUGUAAGAUCGAGGUCGCAGCUCUGGACUGGUUGUGUUGUAGCAUGAUGAUACUCUGCGAUAUAUACAGAUGAGAUGAGACGGUAGCUCGUUGAAUGCGUCAUACAGACUCUGUCAAAUUAGCAUUUGACCCACGCGUUGUUGUCCGGGUCGAUCUGGAAAUUGUAGCGCAUAAUUAAACUGUGGGCUCGUUGAAUAAUAAAGGAUGAGAAGCUGCUAGCCUACUGCUUGAUCGAUUCCAUACAUACGUACUGCAUAAUAAUCGGAUGCUUCAACCGUUACAUUUUUAUGUUCUAAAUAAUCAUCCGGAUCACCUAGGUUCACCAGGUUGCACAAUUUUUUUUAAUAACACAAAAAUUGUCAUUUUCAUUAAUUAUGGGAGAAGGUUUAGACAAACCGGUCCCUACUGCUUAACCGAUCUAUCAACGCUUCAACGCGCUAAUAUAAUGAACUAGUUGCGCCUGCCACUCAUAAUUUGUCAGAUUAUUAGUGGCUGACACUAGACUGCGUCCGACAAUAGUAUGACCCACCUAUAAGCCUUUCUUAAGUAGUGGUAACAGCAAUCAGUUUCUAAAAUAAUGGGUCUAUUAAAGGUGAUACCAAUAUAUAGCCCAACGAUUCAUGCCCUUAGCUUUGUUUCAUUCACACUGGUACACAAUCCAAUAUAAUCCUACGAGUCGAAGACACAAGGACAUCGCGAGAAGAAUUCCUGGCAACCACGCCCAUGCUUGCAACACUGAUGCUCCCCACAAAGUUAAUGUCAAUAUUGAUCUUUAUAUAAUCAAAAGGGGAGGCUCCCCGACUUCAAAAGUCCUUGUAGGAGUAGUGACUGGUUUUAACCCAGCCAUCAGCCUCUUACCCUUGACAUUUAGAAUUACCUUUGAAAUGGGAAGGCAUGCCCAGAACGACGACCAAUAGUUAUCCACAAAAUUAGCAUAGACAGAGACGAAUUCCUUCCCCUUUCCCAAAAUAAUAUCAUUUCUUAAGUGCCAAACUCUCCAAAAAAUGAUUAUGAUUUGCUCACGCAUCAGAGAGCUCAAUUGAUCAAACAAAAUAAGCUACCAUUCUGGCCCAAGAAAUUGAAGAAUUCUUUCCAUGGAGUAUUCCAAACAUCCUUCAACGCCAACAGAAGAGCCUUCGCCUUAGAGUAACUCACCAGGGCAUGAAAAACAUUUUUAUCUUCCAUACCACAAAUAGAACACAGACCAAAAGUAGCAUGCUGGUGCUUAACUCUCUUAACCCGGACUACCAGGCUAUUAGACGUAGCAUGCUAGAAAAAAAUUCUGAUUUUCUGAGGAACAUUCGCCUUCCACAUGAGUUCCAAAGCAUCCUAUCCCCAUUCCUUCGGCCACUUGAUUAUCCACAAUCAUCUGUACGCUCCUUGGGAUGCCGUGCCAAAUUGUAUGCACUUUGUCCGGAGAACAAACCAUUCUUUUCACGAUGCCACAUGAUAAAAUCACCAUCCCCCGAGCAUACAGUACGCAACUUUAGAGUUUCAUCCGCAUCAUGGGGUAGAACAAGUACUACUAUCAUGGGGGUAAGACAAAAUGACUUGAGAAAUAUCAACAUGGACUUACUAAUAUUCUUGAAUACAUUAUCUAGCGUGCAGUCUAUAAGAAACAUAUAUGUUAAAAUCUAGGAUUUUUUUUCUAAAUGUUGAUAAAUAAAUAAACAAGCUUGAGUACAUUACCCCUUCCGUGUCAUACCACGAUGAUUUUUCUAUGGAAGCAUUUAACCAUCUCAUUAGGGGCAUUGUGUACCAUCUCCUAUUCUACAAAGCAUAUGAGGAAUUCAAACACUUAUCACAAAUUCCAUUGGUGAGAAGCAUAUCUCAAUAGUUGCAGUGGCAAUGGGAAGAGUUAGUACUAGAUUUAAGAGUUGCUAAAAAGAAGGAUAAGAAAGAUGCUUAACACUACUAAUUUAGCCAUGUCAUUAAUAGUGUCUAUGCUGACAAAUCUUUUAUCAUUGUGUAUAUUAUCUAAGAGGCAAGAGCACUAGAGAUCCACAAACUUGCAUUGGAUGUGAUGGUUUAGUCCAGAAACUUGCAAAAGGUGAUCAACCCAUCCAUAAACUUGCAAACUAUGUGAUGGUUUAGUCCACAGCCAAUCAGACACGGACAAUUGGCGCCCAGCUGGCUGCUUCGUGGCACGCCUGGUCGGACCGGCUUUUUUGCGGAAAACCCCUCAACUUUCCAGGAAAUCACAAACCGCCCAGAGAUUGCUGAUGUUUGGAAAUGUAUCAGAGGCUCACAUAUCAAACAUGGUGCUGAUGCUUUGGCUCCUGCUGAUGAUAUUGUAGCUCAGAAAAUUUUUAGGUGUUUGCUCCUCGGGGAGUUGGCCUCAAUGUGCUCCGCCCAAGCUGUUGAGUCGGAUGAAUAGUGCAGCCCUCUCAAGAUUCUGAUGACAAAAAUUCAACUCCAGAUGAUGAAAGCAAUUGUGGUUGCUCGAACGGUGAGUCUGUUUGCACAGCAGGAACAGAUGAGCCACAGCGUAAUGGAGUGUUUAAAUCUUCAACUCUGCUUGCUCACUGUGACCGCGUCACAGGAUUAGCCAUUGGAGGUAUAAACACAACAUGGCCAGUGUACUGUGUACAUAAUACACUGUUUCAUUAUUGGAGGCAUCAUGCCAUAAUUUAGUACAAUCAUGCAAAACAUUUUGAUCUGGGCACCGAUGCAAUAUGCAAAAAUCUGGAAAGAAAUGAUAAUUAGGUCUAUGGAGUGUUAUAGUACCAUUCAAAAUUUCAACUUGUAACCCAAAAUGUGUUAGAAGAAAACAGUGUAUAAUUAUUUGAAUGAAACCUCCAUAGACAGAUUUAUUGUGUCAUUUGACAGAUUUAAUUUUUCAUUUCCAUAUCUUUGGACAUAGAUUAUAACUUCAAAUUCCAUAGUGUAGUGUUGAGAAAUAAAUCUAACAAUUUUUUUGCUGAAGUUUUAUGUUCAUUUUAUGCCGAAACCAAAAUGAAAUGCACAACUGACCUUUCUAUUACUCCCCCCGUUUACAAAUAUAAGACAUUUUAACUUUUUUGUGAACCGGAUGUAUAUAGACACGAUUUAAUGUGUUUGUUCGCUCAUUUCAGUCUGUAUGUAGUCUAUACUGAAAUAUCCAAAACAUGUUAUAUUUGUGAACGGAGGGAGUAUUUUGCAGUUCUGCUAGAUAUCCCACUUCAUAUACUUCCAGUGUUUUACUAUGUUUUUAUCCGUUGUGCUAUGUUAUUUGGUUUCUGUCCGUGGCCAUCGCUUGCCUUACCAUGCUAGUGGAUCUUCCUAAUGCCUUUGACCAGAAUUAUGACUCAAGUAAUCUGUGUUGAUGAAUCUUUACUGUAUUGCAGGGGGAUUCUUGUUUAGUUCUUCCUACGACAAAACAAUCAAUGUAUGGUCGCUGCAGGUAUGAAACUGUCGGUGUACACUCUUCUCUUGAUGAGCUGUUAAUUGUGUGAGUGUCAUUCUUGGAAUGAAUAGCAUGUUUUUCUUGUAGUGAGAAAUCACAGUGGCAUACAGCAAACACAUCCAUUACCAUAAAAUGCAUAACCUUUCUGUGACCCAUUUUUUGUGACUUGGCUUGCUUCUACAGGACUUCUCACAUAUGCAGACUUUAAAGGGUCGAGCACAAAAUCACAGCAAUUGUUGUGUUGACAAUGAUAACCAGUCUCUUUGUAUAAGCGGAGACAGUGGCAGUGGAAUUUUUGUCUGGCGUGUUGGUACCUCUCUGAAGCAAGAAUCAUUGAAUAAAUGGUAUGAAACUAAUGAUUGGAUCUACCGAGGUGUUCACUGUUUGGCUGUAUCUGGAACCGGUCAUCUUUAUACUGGUCGUAGAGACAAAUCUAUUAAAGCCUGACUUGCUUUUUCAGUGUCAUAUUGAAACAGGGUGGUUGGUUGGGUUGUAUUAAAAUUAUAGACAAAGUUGAGGAGUUUUUCGCAAAAAAGCCGACCAGGUGUGCCACGAAGCAGCCAGCUGGGCGCCAAUUGUCCGCAUCUGAUUGGUUGUGGACUAAACCAUCACAUAGUUUGCAAGUUUAUGGAUGAAUUGAUCAUCUUUUAUAAGUUUCUGAACUAAACCAUCACAUCCAACGCAAGUUUAUGGGUCUCUAGUGCUCUUGCCUCAUUAUCUAAUGUAGAGGCAAAAAUCCUGUUCAAGAUGGUCCAACAGGUCAUCACUGAAGUCAUUAGGACAAUACUUAGCCAACUUCACUAGAUUCUGAUCAUCAUAAUGACUAGAUUACUUGGAAUGAUAGCAACCAUACAAUGAAGCAACUAAUUAUUUACCUCAUUGAAUAUGCGAUUUAUUUCUUUUCCAAACAACCGACCUGAUGCUCAUUAUUAAUAUCUUAGCAAUGGCCACAACAUCCAAGUUGAGUUUGUGAGCAAAGCAAUGUCUAUAAUAAAGUUGAUCUGUUUUCUGUCAUAAUCUUGGCUUGUAGACCAUUAAACUCACCUACCAUGUUACUUGCUCCACCAUAAUCUUGUCCUGUCACUUGCUAUAGAUUCAAACCAAGCUCUGUAGUUAUAAAAUCAAUUUUACCCUUGAGUUAAUUAGAUGUUGUCUCCUCCACAUGAAUAAUUCGUACAAAUCUAUCAUUUGAUUCCCCACAUUUAACUACACAAUGAAGAACCACUACCACUUGUUGUUUGUGCGAAAAAUCACAACACUCAACAAUAAAUAAAUUGAACACACCAUGCCGAUCUCCUUCAAAAGACAACCCAACAUUUCUUCUGCAAAGCAUUUGGUAACAUCCCUUUGAAUGGCUGAAGACAACCAUAGAUAAUUAAGUAGAGCAUUUUUGAAUGCCUUGGCUCUACCAUAUUGUGAAUAGUAGUAUGACCACCAACGCCGUAUAGUCUCGUUUAUUUAUAGAAUCUUUUGACACAUCAUGGUCAUGGAAUGGUUGUCCUUGAUGCAACAAGUAUCUGCAUGAAUUCAAGCAUUCACCUGAUAAGAUGAUUUUUUUUACUCAAGUUUCCUUUCUUUGUGCAAGGCUGCAGGGAUUGAUUGAGAUGGUUGUCAAUAGAUCCCCAUAAAUUUUAAGUGACUUGUUGCAAAAACCGUCAUGACACCCGCAUUAACCGCAAAUCUCUCCAUUGCCUUAUUCCAAUUUGUUGGCGUAAAAUUACCUUAUUUUGAUUGACAUAGUCAUCUAUCACAAAUGCAUCAUGUCCUUGUUUGUUAUCAUUGAUAUUUGUUCAUGAAAAAAUAACAACACAAGCAAUAUGCCUUGUCCUCUACCUCUAUGUACUCUAGCCAAUUACUAGGUAGACCAUACCAAUCGGGAUUGAAAUAUGUAAAUUGUGUGUGAUAGUCUGACACUUCACAGACGAUUGGUUAAGUAGAACUGUGUGUAGGAUAUCACACACAAGAUCCCUCUAUCGAUCAUGCGAGAUGGACAAUUCAUCGCUCGCAUUUAGUUUCUGGGAAUACGGUUUUUAUUUUCCUAUUGUGUGCUUUGUCGUCAUCGCACACAGUUCGUCCAUAUCGUGUGUGAUUGGCUUAAUAGCCCCAUUGUGUAUUAGUGUAAUGGCGUUUCAUUUCAGUGGGCUUUUUGGACAAUGGCGUCAGCAAUGUGGGUCUUGGAUGUCGGGUCGGCGGCCCUGCGGGUGGUUUCGCGGUGCUCAUGGGCAGAGCCCAUGGCUUGGUGCUGCCCGGUGGCCAUGUCCGUGUGGGCGGCGUGGUAGCCGGGGUGUGGCGAUAGGUGGCGGUGAGUGUUGGCCAGGGUGAAAACCUGUUCUAUCUUCGAACGGACAGGCGGCGGCGGAGAUCGUUCCCUUCUUGAAGGCAUUGUCGCGGCUCUCGCUGCCCUUCGUGUGGCUCCAGGGGAAAUUCUGAUCUUCGGAUCGGGCGGUGGUGGCGCUUCGGUGGCGUAUCCUUUCUGAAGACACCGUCUUGGAGCCCACGGUUCGUCGUAUGCGGCUUCGUCUCUUCGCGAUAUUGCUAGGGGUGGUGUUGCUACACUCAGCGCCAAUGUAUCCUGCCUUGGGUGUGUGCAUGUGUUGUGGUGGCGUGUGUUUGUAUCGGGUGAUGAUGAUCUUUGCUUUAUAUAUAAAGCGGGGUGAAAGCCUUUUUUGGUAUGCUUGAUCUUUGACCUGAAUGGGGUUAUGCCAUAGAUGAAACCUAAUUUGAUUACUAGCAUAUUGAGCCCUCUGGUUGUUUCUCCACAAGGUCUCUCUAUCAGACCGCUUUGGCUAAAACUGGCCCGACGCAACUAACAAAAAUGUGGUCGAUCAAGCUGCCACUCAAAAUUUGGAUCUUUCAGUGACAAUUGAUUCAUAGUGGUCUUACUCUGGUCAAGAGGUCUUGAAGCGGAACAGUCCCAUGAUGACCGUUGUCCGCUUUGUGAGGUCAUCGAGGACAAUAACCACAUAUUAUUCACUUGCGUUACCACCUAAAUUUUUGUGGUGCUGCUUUCAUGAAAUCGUAGGAUACAAGGGGCAUCCUACUAAAACUCUUAGAAAACCAAUAGGACUAGCUCACGCAACACUCGUCGCUACCUUUGGGUUGGCUUUUGAUGUCCUUGACUAGACACUGACAAUUUACAAUAAGUCAUUGAGAAUGCUCAUCGGUGAAACUAUUGGUGCCAUUUAUAAACUUUGUGAUUUCUUGUUGUAUGGCGGGUCCUCAACAAGCAGCUGGAUAUAGACAUAUAGUCGCCAUUGGUGAUUUCACUGCUCAAUUUCGGGAUGGCUUGUGGCCUCACUCGGCCGUUGUUUCUUUGAUCUUGGUUGUAUCUCAUGGGGCCAACUUGUGUCUAUGUUCUAAAAUUAACAAAGAAUGGCAUAUGAUGCCAUGAAAUUGAUCCACUGUGUUUUUUCUUGGUAUUUACGGUCAACGAAAUGCCAUGAACUAAAAAAUAUUGAAUUACAAAUGAAAAAAGAUACAUUUGACUACAAAGAAUCUCAUGUGCACGAUCAAUCACACUUGAGAGAGGAGAAAGUCAUCACGGAAAGAAAGAGAAAUAUAAUUUUUUUUACAGAAAGUCCGUAUGGAGGUUGUUGUUGAUGACUAGUAGAGAAGCAUCAAACCACCCACGACGGCGGCCAGCCCGAGCGCUAGCACAGGCUCAGCCCCAGCCUGAGCCGCCGAGCUCGGCUGUGGCGUUGUCUGUGUGCACCGCUGCCUCGCCCCUCUCCCUCGGCAUCUCACUACCUUGGACUGGACGUUGACCUGUACCUUCAUGCCACCGGCGCAGUGCCCGGGCACGCCGCAGAUGAAGUACCGGGUCCCGACGGCGGCGAGCGGGAUGACGCCGUUGCCGCUCGGGAACGUGGCGACGGGACUAGAGCUGCUGCAGUUGUAGUAGGCCGUCCUUGUCACCUCCACCACGUUGUGCGCCGCAGCGGGGUACUGGAACCGGAGCUCGUCGCCGGUGUAGAACCUGAUGGUGGAAGUCCAUUGGGUGUAGUUUGUCCGGAGGUCCCACGACCCGGCCGGUGCGCCGACUGUGUAGGUGGCACCGAGCGCCGUGCCGAACAGCGCCGCCGCGGUCACUGCGGCAACAAGGAGAGCUCUGGUAGCAGACGCCAUGGAUGAAUGCCAAUCGAGCGACUAGUAGAGCUAGCACUUGAGAAGAUGACCCAAGAAGGGUUGGAAUGUUGAGAUGAUCGAGGGACGUAUGAUCGAGGUCGCGGCUCUGGACUGGUU
rnacentral:lncRNA from 1 species